UACGUAGGGCGCAAGCGUUGUCCGGAAUUAUUGGGCGUAAAGAGCUCGUAGGUGGUUUGUCGCGUCUGCCGUGAAAGCCCGGGGCUUAACCCCGGGUCUGCAUUCGAUACGGGCAGGCUAGAGUGUGGUAGGGGAGAUCGGAAUUCCUGGUGUAGCGGUGAAAUGCGCAGAUAUCAGGAGGAACACCGGUGGCGAAGGCGGUUCUCUGGGCAUUACCUGACGCUGAGGAGCGAAAGUGUGGGGAGCGAACAGG
rnacentral:rRNA from 1 species